rnacentral:rRNA from 1 species
AGGAUAAACGCUGGCGGCGUGCCUUAUGCAUGCAAGUCGAACGAGGUUAGGAUUUCGGUCCGAAGCCUAGUGGCGCACGGGUGAGUAACACGUACGUGACCUGUCCCGACGUGGGGGAUAACCAGCCGAAAGGUUGGCUAAUACCGCAUGUGGACUCUCCUUGGAAGGGGAAGUCCAAAGUAGCAAUACGCGUUGGGAGGGGCGUGCGGCCGAUUAGCUAGUUGGUGUGGUAACGGCACACCAAGGCGAUGAUCGGUAGC